AAAGUCGUAACAAGGUCUCCGUUGGUGAACCAGCGGAGGGAUCAUUACCGAGUUUACAACUCCCAAACCCAUCCAAACUCUUGCUUUCAAACUAUAUUCUGAGUGGCCGCGAGGCAAACAAAUAAAUUAAAACUUUCAACAACGGAUCUCUUGGUUCUG
rnacentral:misc_RNA from 1 species